AAAUUGAAGAGUUUGAUCAUGGCUCAGAUUGAACGCUGGCGGCAGGCCUAACACAUGCAAGUCGAACGGUAACAGGAAGCAGCUUGCUGCUUCGCUGACGAGUGGCGGACGGGUGAGUAAUGUCUGGGAAACUGCCUGAUGGAGGGGGAUAACUACUGGAAACGGUAGCUAAUACCGCAUAAUGUCGCAAGACCAAAGAGGGGGACCUUCGGGCCUCUUGCCAUCGGAUGUGCCCAGAUGGGAUUAGCUUGUUGGUGGGGUAACGGCUCACCAAGGCGACGAUCCCUAGCUGGUCUGAGAGGAUGACCAGCCACACUGGAACUGAGACACGGUCCAGACUCCUACGGGAGGCAGCAGUGGGGAAUAUUGCACAAUGGGCGCAAGCCUGAUGCAGCCAUGCCGCGUGUAUGAAGAAGGUCUUCGGGUUGUAAAGUACUUUCAGCGGGGAGGAAGGGAGUAAAGUUAAUACCUUUGCUCAUUGACGUUACCCGCAGAAGAAGCACCGGCUAACUCCGUGCCAGCAGCCGCGGUAAUACGGAGGGUGCAAGCGUUAAUCGGAAUUACUGGGCGUAAAGCGCACGCAGGCGGUUUGUUAAGUCAGAUGUGAAAUCCCCGGGCUCAACCUGGGAACUGCAUCUGAUACUGGCAAGCUUGAGUCUCGUAGAGGGGGGUAGAAUUCCAGGUGUAGCGGUGAAAUGCGUAGAGAUCUGGAGGAAUACCGGUGGCGAAGGCGGCCCCCUGGACGAAGACUGACGCUCAGGUGCGAAAGCGUGGGGAGCAAACAGGAUUAGAUACCCUGGUAGUCCACGCCGUAAACGAUGUCGACUUGGAGGUUGUGCCCUUGAGGCGUGGCUUCCGGAGCUAACGCGUUAAGUCGACCGCCUGGGGAGUACGGCCGCAAGGUUAAAACUCAAAUGAAUUGACGGGGGCCCGCACAAGCGGUGGAGCAUGUGGUUUAAUUCGAUGCAACGCGAAGAACCUUACCUGGUCUUGACAUCCACGGAAGUUUUCAGAGAUGAGAAUGUGCCUUCGGGAACCGUGAGACAGGUGCUGCAUGGCUGUCGUCAGCUCGUGUUGUGAAAUGUUGGGUUAAGUCCCGCAACGAGCGCAACCCUUAUCCUUUGUUGCCAGCGGUCCGGCCGGGAACUCAAAGGAGACUGCCAGUGAUAAACUGGAGGAAGGUGGGGAUGACGUCAAGUCAUCAUGGCCCUUACGACCAGGGCUACACACGUGCUACAAUGGCGCAUACAAAGAGAAGCGACCUCGCGAGAGCAAGCGGACCUCAUAAAGUGCGUCGUAGUCCGGAUUGGAGUCUGCAACUCGACUCCAUGAAGUCGGAAUCGCUAGUAAUCGUGGAUCAGAAUGCCACGGUGAAUACGUUCCCGGGCCUUGUACACACCGCCCGUCACACCAUGGGAGUGGGUUGCAAAAGAAGUAGGUAGCUUAACCUUCGGGAGGGCGCUUACCACUUUGUGAUUCAUGACUGGGGUGAAGUCGUAACAAGGUAACCGUAGGGGAACCUGCGGUUGGAUCACCUCCUUA
rnacentral:rRNA from 1 species